rnacentral:rRNA from 1 species
GAUGAACGCUGGCGGCGUGCCUGAUACAUGCAAGUCGAGCGAAUGGAUUAAGAGCUUGCUCUUAUGAAGUUAGCGGCGGACGGGUGAGUAACACGUGGGUAACCUGCCCAUAAGACUGGGAUAACUCCGGGAAACCGGGGCUAAUACCGGAUAACAUCUUGAACCGCCUGGUUCGAAAUUGAAAGGCGGCUUCGGCUGUCACUUAUGGAUGGACCCGCGUCGCAUUAGCUAGUUGGUGAGGUAACGGCUCACCAAGGCAACGAUGCGUAGCCGACCUGAGAGGGUGAUCGGCCACACUGGGACUGAGACACGGCCCAGACUCCUACGGGAGGCAGCAGUAGGGAAUCUUCCGCAAUGGACGAAAGUCUGACGGAGCAACGCCGCGUGAGUGAUGAAGGCUUUCGGGUCGUAAAACUCUGUUGUUAGGGAAGAACAAGUGCUAGUUGAAUAAGCUGGCACCUUGACGGUACCUAACCAGAAAGCCACGGCUAACUACGUGCCAGCCGCCGCAGUAA